UAGGGAAUCUUCGGCAAUGGACGGAAGNUUGGACCGAGCAACGCCACGUGAGUGAAGAAGGUUUUCGGAUCGUAAAGCUCUGUUGUAAGAGAAGAACGAGUGUGAGAGUGGAAAGUUCACACUGUGACGGUAUCUUACCAGAAAGGGACGGCUAACUACGUGCCAGCAGCCGCGGUAAUACGUAGGUCCCGAGCGUUGUCCGGAUUUAUUGGGCGUAAAGCGAGCGCAGGCGGUUAGAUAAGUCUGAAGUUAAAGGCUGUGGCUUAACCAUAGUAGGCUUUGGAAACUGUUUAACUUGAGUGCAAGAGGGGAGAGUGGAAUUCCAUGUGUAGCGGUGAAAUGCGUAGAUAUAUGGAGGAACACCGGUGGCGAAAGCGGCUCUCUGGCUUGUAACUGACGCUGAGGCUCGAAAGCGUGGGGAGCAAACAGGAUUAGAUACCCUGGUAGUCCACGCUGUAAACGAUGAGUGCUAGGUGUUAGACCCUUUCCGGGGUUUAGUGCCGUAGCUAACGCAUUAAGCACUCCGCCUGGGGAGUACGACCGCAAGNUG
rnacentral:rRNA from 1 species